rnacentral:rRNA from 1 species
UACGAAGGGGCUAGCGUUGCUCGGAAUCACUGGGCGUAAAGCGCACGUAGGCGGACUCUUAAGUCAGUGGUGAAAUCCUGGAGCUCAACUCCAGAACUGCCUUCGAUACUGAGAGUCUCGAGUCCGAGAGAGGUGAGUGGAACUGCGAGUGUAGAGGUGAAAUUCGUAGAUAUUCGCAAGAACACCGGUGGCGAAGGCGGGUCUCUGGGCAGUAACUGACGCUGAGGUGCGAGAGCGUGGGGAGCGAACCGG